AACGAACGCUGGCGGCAGGCUUAACACAUGCAAGUCGAGCGCCCCGCAAGGGGAGCGGCAGACGGGUGAGUAACGCGUGGGAACGUACCCUUUGCUACGGAAUAGCUCCGGGAAACUGGAAUUAAUACCGUAUGUGCCCUACGGGGGAAAGAUUGAUCGGCAAAGGAUCGGCCCGCGUUGGAUUAGCUAGUUGGUGGGGUAAUGGCCUACCAAGGCGACGAUCCAUUGCUGGUCUGAGAGGAUGAUCAGCCACAUUGGGACUGAGACACGGCCCAAACUCCUACGGGAGGCAGCAGUGGGGAAUAUUGGACAAUGUGCGCAAGCCUGAUCCAGCCAUGCCGCGUGAGUUAUGAAGGCCUUAGGGUUGUAAAGCUCUUUCACCGGAGAAGAUAAUGACGGUAUCCGGAGAAGAAGCCCCGGCUAACUUCGUGCCAGCCGCCGCAGUAAUAC
rnacentral:rRNA from 1 species